rnacentral:rRNA from 1 species
CAAGUCGAGGGGCAGCAUGAACUUAGCUUGCUAAGUUUGAUGGCGACCGGCGCACGGGUGAGUAACACGUAUCCAACCUGCCGAUGACUCGGGGAUAGCCUUUCGAAAGAAAGAUUAAUACCCGAUGGCAUAGUUCUUCCGCAUGGUGGAACUAUUAAAGGUAUUCCGGUAGACGAUGGGGAUGCGUUCCAUUAGGUUGUUGGCGGGGUAACGGCCCACCAAACCUACGAUGGAUAGGGGUUCUGAGAGGAAGGUCCCCACAUUGGAACUGAGACACGGUCCAAACUCC